UGGGGAAUAUUGCGCAAUGGGGGAAACCCUGACGCAGCAACGCCGCGUGAAGGAAGAAGGAUUUCGGUUCGUAAACUUUUGUCUUUGGGGAAGAAUAAAUGACGGUACCCAAGGAGGAAGCCACGGCUAACUACGUGCCAGCAGCCGCGGUAAUACGUAGGUGGCAAGCGUUGUCCGGAUUUACUGGGUGUAAAGGGCGUGUAGGCGGGAAGAUAAGUCAGAUGUGAAAUACCGAGGCUCAACCUCGGGGCUGCAUUUGAAACUGUCUUUCUUGAGUGCAGGAGAGGAAAGCGGAAUUCCUAGUGUAGCGGUGAAAUGCGUAGAUAUUAGGAGGAACACCGGUGGCGAAGGCGGCUUUCUGGACUGUAACUGACGCUGAGGCGCGAAAGCGUGGGGAGCAAACA
rnacentral:rRNA from 1 species